CUGGCCGUAAACGAUGGAUACUAGGUGUAGAGGGUAUCGACCCCUUCUGUGCCGCAGUGAACGCAAUAAGUAUCCCGCCUGGGGAGUACGGUCGCAAGACUGAAACUCAAAGGAAUUGACGGGGGCCCGCACAAGCAGUGGAGCAUGUGGUUUAAUUCGACGCAACCCGAAGAACCUUACCAGGUCUUGACAUUUGUAGAAUUGGGCAGAGAUGCUUAAGUGCCUUUCGGGGAACUACAAAACAGGUGG
rnacentral:rRNA from 1 species